GAUGAACGCUGGCGGCGUGCCUAAUACAUGCAAGUCGAGCGAACAGACGAGGAGCUUGCUCCUCUGACGUUAGCGGCGGACGGGUGAGUAACACGUGGAUAACCUACCUAUAAGACUGGGAUAACUUCGGGAAACCGGAGCUAAUACCGGAUAACAUGUUGAACCGCAUGGUUCAACAGUGAAAGACGGUCUUGCUGUCACUUAUAGAUGGAUCCGCGCCGCAUUAGCUAGUUGGUAAGGUAACGGCUUACCAAGGCAACGACGCGUAGCCGACCGGAGAGGGUGAUCGGCCCACGGGGAGGAGAGACCCGCUCCGACCCCCUCGGGGGGGCAUGGCAAGGAAAUCUGCCGCAAGGGGCGAGAUCCUCAAGGAGCCUGGCCAGUGAAGCGAAAAGGGUCUUCGCUUAUUAAACACUUUUAUUUAGGAAAAAACAAAUGUGAAGUGAAUUUUCCCAUUCUUCCCGGCCCCUAGCAAAAAGCCCGCGAUGACCUGGUG
rnacentral:rRNA from 1 species